rnacentral:rRNA from 1 species
AUGUCUUUAGCAAAUUCUUAUGCCAAUUCCCUAGUUCCAACCGGGAGACACAACCAGAAAGUACAACCAAAUUCGCAUUCCCAGUUCAAGCCAAGUGCAUGUUUUUAUAGCAACUUCCACAUAUGUACAAAUAGGUUACAAUCACAAAUCCCCCCAUCAAAUAUGUAUGUACACACGCCUUCAUGCUCAAUGGUUCCCAUUUCCAGAGUAGCCACACCUAGAAAGAAUCAACACCCAGCAGGCCCCCAAGCCAAGAGAAAGGUAAAUAAGAAGCUAGCCGGUGAGCUUAUGCACCGGCUAAUUUCCCUCGACACACUUUUCCCUUGGCCUUUCGUCCAGAGUGCGCACGCCACUAAUGCGGAGCUACAGCGACGUCAGCGGCACAGCGGCACCGCCUUGAGGAGCGCGUCGAGGCCGCCGGGCCGCGCGCCGCAGCGGCCGCUCCGCUCGCCGCGCGGCAGCUCGGCGACGAGCACCCGCCGGCAGGACGGGCAGGAGGAGUGCGAGCGCAGCCAGGCGUCGACGCAGGCCGCGUGGAACGCGUGGCUGCACUGCGGCAGCACCCGCAUGUGCUGGCCGUCCUCGAACUCGGCGAGGCAGAUGGCGCACUCGUCCGCCUCCGACGCCUCGCCGCCGUCGGCGGCGUACCUGACGGUGGGCAGCGCGCGCAGCACCUCCUUCUUGACGCCCCUGUUGGCGCCGGGCGGGGCGGCGUCCGCGGCGCGGGCCCAGCGGCGGGAGCACGCGCACCGCGCCACGAGGCCGAGGCCGAGUACGCAGACCAGCGCGCAGAGCAGGCCGGCGAGGAUGAGGACCAGGUCCGAGUUGAGCGAGUCCUGCGGCACGCCGGCCGCCGCCGCCUCCUCGAGGAGCCUUCUCGCCGCCAUGUCCGGGCAGCGGGAGAGAGCUGAGCUCACGAGCUUCGCCGCUGGGUUGCGCGGAGGAGCAGCUGGCUGGCUAGUCGAUGGUCGUCGUCGUAGCUCGGGGGAGGAAGCGUGGAGGAAGUGUGUGAUGGGAGGCGCUGGGUCGCUGGCUUAUAUAGAGAUGGCGCGGGGAGGCGAUCGUCGGCUUUUGGUCUUGAGGAAAAUGCGAAGAAUGAGCACGGGCGGGUCGUAG